rnacentral:rRNA from 1 species
UACGUAGGCAGCGAGCGUUGUUCGGAGUUAUUGGGCGUAAAGGGUGUGUAGGCGGUUGUUUAAGUUUGGUGUGAAAUCUCCCGGCUCAACUGGGAGGGUGCGCCGAAUACUGAAUGGCUUCGAGUGCGGGAGAGGAGAGUGGAAUUCCUGGUGUAGCGGUGAAAUGCGUAGAUAUCAGGAGGAACACCGGUGGUGUAGACGGCUCUUUGGAUCGUAACUGACGCUGAGACACGAAAGCGUGGGUAGCAAACAGG